rnacentral:rRNA from 1 species
GACGAACGCUGGCGGCGCGCCUAACACAUGCAAGUCGAACGAGCGAGAGAGAGCUUGCUUUCUCGAGCGAGUGGCGAACGGGUGAGUAACGCGUGAGGAACCUGCCUCAAAGAGGGGGACAACAGUUGGAAACGACUGCUAAUACCGCGUAAGCCCACAGCUCGGCAUCGAGCAGAGGGAAAAGGAGCGAUCCGCUUUGAGAUGGCCUCGCGUCCGAUUAGCUAGUUGGUGAGGUAACGGCCCACCAAGGCGACGAUCGGUAGCCGGACUGAGAGGUUGAACGGCCACAUUGGGACUGAGACACGGCCCAGACUCCUACGGGAGGCAGCAGUGGGGAAUAUUGCACAAUGGGGGAAACCCUGAUGCAGCGACGCCGCGUGGAGGAAGAAGGUCUUCGGAUUGUAAACUCCUGUUGUUGAGGAAGAUAAUGACGGUACUCAACAAGGAAGUGACGGCUAACUACGUGCCAGCAGCCGCGGUAAAACGUAGGUCACAAGCGUUGUCCGGAAUUACUGGGUGUAAAGGGAGCGCAGGCGGGAAAGCAAGUUGGAAGUGAAAUCCAUGGGCUCAACCCAUGAACUGCUUUCAAAACUGUUUUUCUUGAGUAGUGCAGAGGUAGGCGGAAUUCCCGGUGUAGCGGUGGAAUGCGUAGAUAUCGGGAGGAACACCAGUGGCGAAGGCGGCCUACUGGGCACCAACUGACGCUGAGGCUCGAAAGUGUGGGUAGCAAACAGG